UACGUAGGUGGCGAGCGUUGUCCGGAAUUACUGGGCGUAAAGGGCGCGUAGGCGGAUAUUUAAGCCAGAUGUGAAAACUCCGGGCUCAACUUGGAGAUUGCAUUUGAAACUGGGUAUCUUGAGGACAGGAGAGGAAAGCGGAAUUCCUAGUGUAGCGGUGAAAUGCGUAGAUAUUAGGAGGAACACCAGUGGCGAAGGCGGCUUUCUGGACUGUAACUGACGCUGAGGCGCGAAAGCGUGGGGAGCAAACGGGAUUAGAUACCCCGGUAGUCCCUGA
rnacentral:rRNA from 1 species